AGCUUGCUGGGUGGAUCAGUGGCGAACGGGUGAGUAACACGUGAGCAACCUGCCCCCUACUUCGGGAUAAGCCUUGGAAACGGGGUCUAAUACCGGAUAUGAACAUCUAUCGCAUGGUGGGUGUUGGAAAGUUUUUCGGUGGGGGAUGGGCUCGCGGCCUAUCAGCUUGUUGGUGGGGUAAUGGCCUACCAAGGCGUCGACGGGUAGCCGGCCUGAGAGGGCGACCGGCCACUCUGGGACUGAGACACGGCCCAGACUCCUACGGGAGGCAGCAGUGGGGAAUAUUGCACAAUGGGCGAAAGCCUGAUGCAGCGACGCCACGUGAGGGAUGACGGCCUUCGGGUUGUAAACCUCUUUCCGCAGGGAAGAAUCCUUGUGACGGACCUGCAGAAGAAGCGCCGGCUAACUACAUGCCAGCAGCCGCGGUAUACGUAGGGCGCAAGCGUUGUCCGGAAUUAUUGAGCGUAAAUAGCUUUUACGCGGUCUGUCGCGUCUGGUGUGAAUCCCAUGGCUCGACUGUGGGCUUGCAUCGGGUACUGGCAACUACAGUGCUGUAUGGGAAAUGGAUUUCUGGUGUAACGGUGGAAUGCCAGAUUCAGGAGGACACCGAUGGCGAAGGCGGUCUCUGGGCAGUACUGACGCUGAGGACCAAAACAUGGGGAGCGACAGGAUAAAUACCUGGUAGUCAUGCCGUAACGUGGGCCUAGUGUGGGGCAGUUCCCUGGUCUGUGCGCACUACGCUUAGUGCCCGCCUGGGA
rnacentral:rRNA from 2 species